CCUACGGGAGGCAGCAGUGGGGAAUAUUGCACAAUGGGCGGAAGCCUGAUGCAGCGACGCCGCGUGAGGGAUGAAGGCCUUCGGGUUGUAAACCUCUUUCAGCAGGGACGAAGCGUGAGUGACGGUACCUGCAGAAGAAGCACCGGCUAACUACGUGCCAGCAGCCGCGGUAAUACGUAGGGUGCGAGCGUUGUCCGGAAUUACUGGGCGUAAGGAGUUCGUAGGCGGUUUGUCGCGUCGUUUGUGAAAACCCGGGGCUCAACUUCGGGCUUGCAGGCGAUACGGGCAGACUUGAGUGUUUCAGGGGAGACUGGAAUUCCUGGUGUAGCGGUGAAAUGCGCAGAUAUCAGGAGGAACACCGGUGGCGAAGGCGGGUCUCUGGGAAACAACUGACGCUGAGGAACGAAAGCGUGGGUAGCAAACAGGAUUAGAUACCCUGGUAGUCCACGCCGUAAACGGUGGGCGCUAGGUGUGGGUUCCUUCCACGGGAUCUGUGCCGUAGCUAACGCAUUAAGCGCCCGCCUGGGGAGUACGGCCGCAAGGCUAAAACUCAAAGGAAUUGACGG
rnacentral:rRNA from 1 species